AUUGAACGCUGGCGGCAGGCUUAACACAUGCAAGUCGAGCGGGGGAAGGUAGCUUGCUACUGGACCUAGCGGCGGACGGGUGAGUAAUGCUUAGGAAUCUGCCUAUUAGUGGGGGACAACAUCUCGAAAGGGAUGCUAAUACCGCAUACGUCCUACGGGAGAAAGCAGGGGAUCUUCGGACCUUGCGCUAAUAGAUGAGCCUAAGUCGGAUUGGCUAGUUGGUGGGGUAAAGGCCUACCAAGGCGACGAUCUGUAGCGGGUCUGAGAGGAUGAUCCGACACACUGGGACUGAGCCACGGCCCAGACUCCUACGGGAGGCAGCAGUGGGGAAUAUUGGACAAUGGGGGGAACCCUGAUCCAGCCAUGCCGCGUGUGUGAAGAAGGCCUUAUGGUUGUAAAGCACUUUAAGCGAGGAGGAGGCUACUUUAGUUAAUACCUAGAGAUAGUGGACGUUACUCGCAGAAUAAGCACCGGCUAACUCUGUGCCAGCCGCCGCCGUAA
rnacentral:rRNA from 1 species